rnacentral:rRNA from 1 species
ACGGAAGGGGCUAGCGUUGUUCGGAAUUACUGGGCGUAAAGCGCGCGUAGGCGGCCAUGCAAGUGAGGCGUGAAAGGCCUGGGCUCAACCUGGGAACUGCGCUUCAGACUGCACGGCUUGAGUCCGGGAGAGGGUGGUGGAAUUCCCAGUGUAGAGGUGAAAUUCGUAGAUAUUGGGAGGAACACCAGUGGCGAAGGCGGCCACCUGGCCCGGUACUGACGCUCAAGUGCGAAAGCGUGGGGAGCAAACAG